ensembl:lncRNA
CAGCUUUGCAUAUCCUUUGGCUGCCGUUAGGGUAGCAGUAGGGAAUCAUCGCUGAUGGCACACAGCUGUGAAGUUAAAUCCCCACAGAGGGAGGUCUGGAGGAGCAGCCACAAUGCCCCACCUCCCGCAGAGACCAUAUAGAGCCGGGCCAGCAAAGCUGCUGUACUUUAGUAUGGUCCCUAAAAGGUGCCCCAGGCUGAGAUGAAUCAUAGCAGGUGCACAGCUGUGCUCUACUGAUGACUUUGCCUUUACAGCCUGCAGCAUCAUGGGGCCACACAGAUGCUUCAGUUCCAGCUGCUGGUGGGAGAAGAGCAAAGAUGGAAUUCAGAGGUGGAACAACAAACUAAUUCAUGAAGUUUUGUGACAAUGGCCUGACAGACCGAAAUUCUACAUUUCCAACUUUAUUUGCAGUCGCUGGUUAUUCUGGUCAUUUAAAGAGAUGCAAUCUGCUACUAGGACAGUAUAGGAGUAGCUGGUACCAAACGUGUGUGCAAAUCUAAAAAUGGACCUGAGAGCUCAAUAAAAAUUCUUGGCACGGCCCAGCUAUUUGGUUUGGCCUUUCUGUGCAGGUCUACUCCACUUCUUCCAACAGUGUUGUUGUAUCAUCAGAAUCCAAGUACAGUGGCAGUAAACCGCCUUGAGAGCAAAGUGGACUUGGGGCAAAGUCCCAGGAUGCUACAGCAAGGGUGUGGUGGGCACUGC